rnacentral:rRNA from 1 species
CCCGCUGAACUUAAGCAUAUCAAUAAGCGCAGGAAAAGAAACCAACAGGGAUUGCCUCAGUAACGGCGAGUGAAGCGGCAACAGCUCAAAUUUGAAAUCUGGCCUCUCGGGGUCCGAGUUGUAAUUUGUAGAGGAUGUUUUGGGUACCGCCCCGGUUUAAAUUUCUUGGAACAGAAUGUCAGAGAGGGUGAGAAUCCCGUCUUGGACCGGCGGUAGGGCCUGUGUAAAACUCCUUCGACGAGUCGAGUUGUUUGGGAAUGCAGCUCAAAAUGGGUGGUAAAUUUCAUCUAAAGCUAAAUAUUGGCCAGAGACCGAUAGCGCACAAGUAGAGUGAUCGAAAGAUGAAAAGCACUUUGAAAAGAGAGUUAAACAGUAUGUGAAAUUGUUGAAAGGGAAACGUUUGAAGUCAGUCGCGUCGGCCGAGACUCAACCUUGCUUCUGCUCGGUGCACUUCUCGGUUGACGGGUCAGCAUCAAUUUUGACCGCCGGAUAAAGGUCGGGGGAAUGUGGCAUCCUUCGGGAUGUGUUAUAGACCUCGAUUCGGAUACGGCGAUUGGGAUUGAGGAACUCGGCGCUUUGCGUCCAGGAUGCUGGCAUAAUGGCUUUAAGCGACCCGUCUUGAAACACGG